rnacentral:rRNA from 1 species
CCUACGGGAGGCAGCAGUGGGGAAUAUUGCACAAUGGGGGAAACCCUGAUGCAGCGACGCCGCGUGAGUGAAGAAGUACUUCGUUAUGUAAAGCUCUAUCAGCAGGGAAGAAAAUGACGGUACCUGAGUAAGAAGCCCCGGCGAACUACGUGCCAGCAGCCGCGGUAAUACGUAGGGGGCAAGCGUUAUCCGAUUUACUGGGUGUAAAGGGAGCGUAGACGGCAGUGCAAGUCUGGAGUGAAAGGCGGGGGCACAACCCCCGGACUGCUCUGGAAACUGUACGGCUUGAGUGCAGGAGAGGUAAGUGGAAUGCGUGGUGUAGCGGUGAAAUGCGUAGAUAUUAGGAAGAACACCAGUGGCGAAGGCGGCUUACUGGACUGUAACUGACGUUGAGGCACGAAAGCGUGGGGAGCAAACAGGAUUAGAUACCCGAGUAGUC